ensembl:misc_RNA 7SK 7SK RNA
AGAUGUGAGGGCAAUCUGGCUAUGACAUCUAGUCACCGCAUCAUCACCAGGGUUGAUGCGGCUGAUCUGGCUGGAUAGACGGGGAUCCCCUUCCUCCCUCACCGCUCCAUCUGUAUCCCUCCUGAAGCUGUGCGAACUCUGUCAAAGAGGACGACCUUCCCCCAGUAGAAGAGGACAGAUCUUCGGUCAAGGGCGUACCCGUAGCUGCGCUCCCCCGUUGACACCUCCCAACAAGCUCUCAAGAUAUGGAACAGUUCUAUUGUUCAAAAAAAGUCUCUCUCAUGCUACCUUUGUA